GACAGAGGAGCCAAGCGUUGUCCGGAUUGACUGGGCGUAAAGCGCACGCAGGCGGGUGCGCGCGUGGGGUGUGAAACCUGGCCGCUUAACGGCCAGGCGCCAUCCCAUACGGCGCGACUGGAGUGAUGCAGAGGUCGAUGGAAUUGCCGGUGUAGUGGUGAAAUGCGUAGAGAUCGGCAGGAACACCCAGGGGGAAACCAGUCGACUGGGCAUCUACUGACGCUGAGGUGCGAGAGCGUGGGGAGCGAACCGG
rnacentral:rRNA from 1 species